GUGAUCCUACGGGGGGCAGCAGUGAGGAAUAUUGGUCAAUGGUCGGGAGACUGAACCAGCCAAGCCGCGUGCAGGAUGACGGCCCUACGGGUUGUAAACUGCUUUUAUACGGGAAUAACGCGCCUUACGUGUAGGGCUUUGCAUGUACCGUAUGAAUAAGGACCGGCUAAUUCCGUGCCAGCAGCCGCGGUAAUACGGAAGGUCCGGGCGUUAUCCGGAUUUAUUGGGUUUAAAGGGAGCGUAGGCCGCAUGUCAAGCGUGCUGUGAAAUGUCCGGGCUCAACCCGGGCCUUGCAGCGCGAACUG
rnacentral:rRNA from 1 species